GACCCUAAACUACUGUCAAUGGCAUAUUCAGCUGUUGGAAAACUUUCCAGUCGAAUGCCCCAUUUAUUCACUAAGGAUAUAGCUCUUGUGCAGCAGCUUUUUGAAGCCCUGUGUAAGGAAGAGCCCGAGACUCGACUUGCUAUUCAAGAAGCACUGUCUAUGAUGGUUGGAGCUUAUAGUACUUUGGAAGGAGCACAGCGAACUCUCAUGGAGGCACUUGUGGCUUCGUAC